rnacentral:rRNA from 1 species
CCUACGGGGGGCAGCAGUGAGGAAUAUUGGUCAAUGGACGAGAGUCUGAACCAGCCAAGUAGCGUGAAGGAUGACUGCCCUAUGGGUUGUAAACUUCUUUUAUAUGGGAAUAAAACGUUCCACGUGUGGGAUUUUGUAUGUACCAUAUGAAUAAGGAUCGGCUAACUCCGUGCCAGCAGCCGCGGUAAUACGGAGGAUCCGAGCGUUAUCCGGAUUUAUUGGGUUUAAAGGGAGCGUAGGUGGAUUGUUAAGUCAGUUGUGAAAGUUUGCGGCUCAACCGUAAAAUUGCAGUUGAAUCUGGCAGUCUUGAGUACAGUAGAGGUGGGCGGAAUUCGUGGUGUAGCGGUGAAAUGCUUAGAUAUCACGAAGAACUCCGAUUGCGAAGGCAGUUCACUGGACUGCAACUGACACUGAGGCUCGAAAGUGUGGGUAUCAAACAGGAUUAGAUACCCGAGUAGUC